GACGAACGCUGGCGGCGUGCUUAACACAUGCAAGUCGAGCGGAGCGGCGAACGGGUGAGUAACGCGUGAGUAACUGCCCCCCUCUCUGGGAUAACAGAUGGAAACGGCUGCUAAUACCGGAUAGUGGGGGAUGAAUCGCGUCCUAUCAGCUUGUUGGUGGGGUAGUGGCCUACCAAGGCGACGACGGGUAGCCGGCCUGAGAGGGGGACCGGCCACAAUGGGCUGAGUGACGGCGCAAACUCCAACGGGAGGCAGCAGUGGGGAGUAUGGCGCAGUGGGGCAAACCCUGGUGCAGCAGCGCCGCGUGCGGAAUGUCGGCCUUGGGGUUGUAAACCGCGUUCAGCCAUGACGCGGUAGUGGCAGAAGAAGCACCGGCUAACUACGUGCCAGCAGCCGCGGUAAUAC
rnacentral:rRNA from 1 species